rnacentral:rRNA from 1 species
AGUGAACGCUGGCGGCGUGCCUAAUACAUGCAAGUCGAACGGAGUGGCGCACGGGUGAGUAAUAUAUAGCUAAUCUGCCCCUCGCUGGGGGACAACAGUUAGAAAUGACUGCUAAUACUCCAUAGCAAGGGAUGAGACUAUAUCGUGUCAGCUAGUCGGUGGGGUAACGGCCUACCGAGGCUAUGACGCGUAACUGGUCUGAGAGGAUGAUCAGUCACAUUUGAACUGAGACGCGGUCCAAACUCCUACGGGAGUGAGCAGUAGGGGAAAUUGCGCAAUGGGGGAGACGCUUGCGCAGCAACGCCGCGUGGGGGAUAACACUUUUCGGAGCGUAAACUACUUUUGUUUGGGAAGCGGUACCUAACGAAUAAGCACCGGCUAACUCCGUGCCAGCAGCCGCGGUAAUUC